GAUGAACGCUGGCGGCGUGCCUAAUACAUGCAAGUCGAGCGAACAGACGAGGAGCUUGCUCCUCUGACGUUAGCGGCGGACGGGUGAGUAACACGUGGAUAACCUACCUAUAAGACUGGGAUAACUUCGGGAAACCGGAGCUAAUACCGGAUAAUAUAUUGAACCGCAUGGUUCAAUAGUGAAAGACGGUUUUGCUGUCACUUAUAGAUGGAUCCGCGCCGCAUUAGCUAGUUGGUAAGGUAACGGCUUACCAAGGCGACGAUGCGUAGCCGACCUGAGAGGGUGAUCGGCCACACUGGAACUGAGACACGGUCCAGACUCCUACGGGAGGCAGCGGUAGGGAAUCUUCCGCAAUGGGCGAAAGCUUGACGGAGCAACGCCGCGUGAGUGAUGAAGGUCUUCGGAUCGUAAAACUCUGUUAUUAGGGAAGAACAAAUGUGUAAGUAACUAUGCACGUCUUGACGGUACCUAAUCAGAAAGCCACGGCUAACUACGUG
rnacentral:rRNA from 1 species